GAAGCAGGUUAAUUGAGUUUGUUAACCCUGGGAUGAAGGAACCUUUGGGUUUUCUGUUGCAGAAAGAGAGGUGAUUCCGAAGACAGAGAGCUGACAGGUUCUCUUGAAGUGCAGUUCCCAGACAAUGCUGACGCUUUAAGUGCAAUGAUCGCAUCCAUAGAAGAAAAGAUUGCUCUAUGUGAUGCGGUUGUUGAAGAUUUGUUAGCUGUUCAGAGAGUUGUAAAGGAAAAAGGCCUUUGUGAUGCACCAGUGCAGGAACAAAAGAAUCAAGCUGAUUUUACAGUGUGAUCAGCCCCCCAGUUGGUGUGUGUGUGUGUGUGUGUGUGUGUGUGUAUAAAAUCAAAUAAAA